CGCACAAUUUGCGCGCAGGAUGAAUUGAUCGUAUAGUUUCACUGUUGACGUAACACAGUGUGCUUGCGGCUACCACCCGCAAAAACCUGCUAAAAAACCUCGCUCCGGCGGGGUUUUUU
rnacentral:sRNA from 1 species